rnacentral:RNase_P_RNA from 1 species
GCUGCAGGCCGGGUGACCGCGUCGUCGCAAGACGCCGAGGAAAGUCCGGACACCACAGGGCAGGACGCUGGGGAAACCCCAGGGGGCGAAAGCCGACGGAAAGUGGAACAGAAAGCAAACCGCCGGCGGCGUGUUCUCCGGAGACGCCGCCGGUAAGGGUGAAACGGUGGGGUAAGAGCCCACCAGCGCCGCGGUGACGCGGCGGCUCGUCAAACCCCGUCCGGUGCAAGGUGAAGCAGAUCCCGUCGACGCGGCCCGCCGAGGGAUCGGGUACACC